CCCACCUGACCCCAUGCCGAACUCAGAAGUGAAACGCCGUAGCGCCGAUGGUAGUGUGGGGUUUCCCCAUGCGAGAGUAGGGAACUGCCAGGC
rnacentral:rRNA from 1 species